rnacentral:rRNA from 1 species
UACGUAGGGUGCGAGCGUUGUCCGGAAUUAUUGGGCGUAAAGAGCUCGUAGGCGGUGUGUCGCGUCGGCCGUGAAAACCUGCAGCUUAACUGUGGGCUUGCGGUCGAUACGGGCAUCACUGGAGUUCGGCAGGGGAGACUGGAAUUCCUGGUGUAGCGGUGAAAUGCGCAGAUAUCAGGAGGAACACCGGUGGCGAAGGCGGGUC